GAUUUCUUGUUUGUUUGUUUUUUUGGUGGAAGUUUAACCUUUCCUUGUUUUGUUUUCUGUUUUUGUUCACCUAUAUUUAUUAUCAUAGAAGUGAUAGAAGAGAAUUCCAUUUCCAUUUGUAUUGAACUACACCAUUGUCAUGCUACUUGCUCCCUCUGAACUUCAUAAAAUACAAUCGUAGGUUGGGGUGGAUUAUUUUGGUAGAAUUGCAUUUGUCUAUUUAAUAAUAUCCAUUUUGUUUUGAACUAAAAUGUAAAAUCCAAAAUAUUAUCAAAGCUUUCCCUUUUAAAAAAUCAUGGAGAGUAUUGCAGGUUUCUAAAAUAUUAUUAGAUAUACACUUGUUUUGCAUUAACUGCUUACUGUAUUAUUUGAGAUGAGGAGUAAAUAGAAUGACCAUGCUUAUCUUUUUUUUUUACCUUUUAUAAAACUUAAUAUUCUGAUUUACAAUACCAAAUGCUGUGAAAAAUAUUACAUUGAAUAAUCUAAAAAUAAUAGCAAAAUUUUCCUAGAAGCAACAAUAGUCCCAUAAAUUCCACAUAACUUAAUAUUUGGAUUACAAUACAAAAUGUUGUGAAAUAUAUUACAUUGAAUAAUUUAAAGAUAAUAGCAAAAUUUCCCUAGAAGCAACAGUAAUCCCAUAAAUUCCACAAGAUAAUGUAUGCAUAUGUAUUGUAAAUGUUGGAUGAAUAGAAAUGAGAAAAUUUUGACAUGUUCAGAUUCCUCUAUUUUUUUUCAUUGUUUCAUUGUUAACAAUACAAUUAUGUAAAUGUUGCUAAUUAUUCAUGUAAAUGCUAAUGUUUAUUUGUAUGUUAGAAUAGAAUUUAAACCAAUUGUUAAUCAUGUAAACUUUGACAAAUUUUACUGAGUAAAUUUAUUAUGAAAAUUGAAAUAGAACAUUCCCUGUUAUAGAGGUCUCCCAAAUGAAUUCAUGUGUUCUGCCUCUUCAUAUAAAUUGUUUCCAAUUGAGUAACAUCAUAUGAUGUGAGUACUUGAAGAUUUUAAAUUUUUCCUGAACAUUUGUUUUAAACGGAUUGUGUAAGACAAACAUAAAUAUAUAAAUACUUUUAAUUGUAAUUUCAAGUUUUUUGUUUGUGAAGUCUUUGUAUAUUUGUCUCUCUCCAGUUGUUACAUAAAACAGUUCGGAAUAAAGGAAAAAGAAGAAUACCAUCA
rnacentral:sRNA from 1 species